UACGUAGGGUGCAAGCGUUGUCCGGAAUUAUUGGGCGUAAAGAGCUCGUAGGCGGUUUGUUGCGUCGGCUGUGAAAUCCCGAGGCUCAACCUCGGGUCUGCAGUCGAUACGAGCAAACUAGAGUGUUGCAGGGGAGACUGGGAAUUCCUGGUGUAGCGGUGAAAUGCGCAGAUAUCAGGAGGAACACCGGUGGCGAAGGCGGGUCUCUAGUACGGUACUGACGCUGAGACGCGAAAGCGUGGGGAGCGAACAGG
rnacentral:rRNA from 1 species